rnacentral:rRNA from 1 species
GGAGUCCAGCAUGUGCGCGAGUCAUUGGGACUAGCGAAACCUAAAGGCGAAAUGAAAGUGAAGGUCGGCCUCGCGCCGACCGAGGGAGGAUGGGCCGCGUCACGACGCGGCCCCGCACUCCCGGGGCGUCUCGUUCUCAUUGCGAGAAGAGGCGCACCCAGAGCGUACACGCUGGGACCCGAAAGAUGGUGAACUAUGCCUGGUCAGGACGAAGUCAGGGGAAACCCUGAUGGAGGUCCGAAGCGAUUCUGACGUGCAAAUCGAUCGUCGGAACUGGGUAUAGGGGCGAAAGACUAAUCGAACCAUCUAGUAGCUGGUUCCCUCCGAAGUUUCCCUCAGGAUAGCUGGCGCUCGCUUUUGCGAGUCUCAUCUGGUAAAGCGAAUGAUUAGAGGCAUUGGGGUCGAAACGGCCUCAACCUAUUCUCAAACUUUAAAUGGGUGAGAUCUCCGGCUUGCUUGAAUAGUGAAGCCGCGAGAUCGGAUCAGAGUGCCAAGUGGGCCAUUUUUGGUAAGCAGAACUGGCGCUGUGGGAUGAACCAAACGCAGAGUUAAAGCUCCUAAAUCGACGCUUAUGGGAUACCAUGAAAGGCGUUGGUAACUUAAGACAGCAGGACGGUGGCCAUGGAA